rnacentral:tRNA from 1 species
CGAUAGCUCAGUCAGGUAGAGUAAUAGAAAUUUGCAGGUUCGAAUCCUGUAUCAA